CAUGUAGGCGGAUUAAUAAGUUUGAAGUGAAAUCCUAUAGCUUAACUAUAGAACUGCUUUGAAAACUGUUAAUCUAGAAUGUGGGAGAGGUAGAUGGAAUUUCUGGUGUAGGGGGUAAAAUCCGUAGAGAUCAGAAGGAAUACCGAUUGCGAAGGCGAUCUACUGGAACAUUAUUGACGCUGAGAUGCGAAAGCGUGGGGGAGCAAACA
rnacentral:rRNA from 1 species